AUUGAACGCUGGCGGAAUGCUUUACACAUGCAAGUCGAACGGCAGCACGGGGCAACCUGGUGGCGAGUGGCGAACGGGUGAGUAAUAUAUCGGAACGUGCCCAAUCGUGGGGGAUAACGUAGCGAAAGUUACGCUAAUACCGCAUACGAUCUACGGAUGAAAGCGGGGGAUCGCAAGACCUCGCGCGAAUGGAGCGGCCGAUAUCAGAUUAGGUAGUUGGUGGGGUAAAGGCUCACCAAGCCAACGAUCUGUAGCUGGUCUGAGAGGACGACCAGCCACACUGGAACUGAGACACGGUCCAGACUCCUACGGGAGGCAGCAGUGGGGAAUUUUGGACAAUGGGCGCAAGCCUGAUCCAGCCAUUCCGCGUGCAGGAUGAAGGCCUCGG
rnacentral:rRNA from 1 species